rnacentral:ncRNA from 1 species
GCGGGCUUGGAUUCAUGAUGCUGUGGGCCCGCAUCACAGCGCGUCAAGCGAGCGAUCACGGGGAUCUCCAGACGCUCGUCGGUAUAGCCGCGUCACUACGAAAGUAGGCCGCCGGGGGAAGCUCGCAUUGCUCCUGGCGCUCCGAAUUUUAUAAGAGUGACGCGCCGCACGCCGUGGAGGGGUAGCUGUGUUGGUUGGACAGCUAGAAAGUGUGGAACGCCG